rnacentral:rRNA from 1 species
UACGUAGGGUGCGAGCGUUGUCCGGAAUUAUUGGGCGUAAAGAGCUUGUAGGCGGUCUGUCGCGUCUGCUGUGAAAAUCCGGGGCUCAACCCCGGACUUGCAGUGGGUACGGGCAGACUAGAGUGUGGUAGGGGAGACUGGAAUUCCUGGUGUAGCGGUGGAAUGCGCAGAUAUCAGGAGGAACACCAAUGGCGAAGGCAGCUCGCUGGGACGUUACUGACACUGAGGCGCGAAAGCGUGGGGAGCGAACAGG